rnacentral:misc_RNA from 1 species
UUUCUGUAGGUGAACCUGCGGAAGGAUCAUUAUUGUAUAACCGAGGUGCGAGGGCUGUCGCUGACCCGGAGGGUCGUGCACGCCCGAGUGCCCUCACACACAUCCAUCUCACCCCUAUGUGCACCACCGCGUGGGUCCCCCUUUGGCUUGUUCGGAGGGGGGCUUACGUUUUCACACAAACUUUGUAUGCAGUGUAGAAUGUAUUUUUUGUUUUUGCGAUCACGCAAUCAAUACAACUUUCAACAACGGAUCUCUUGGCUCUC